ACUAACACAGCAUUGUAAAGCAAUUAUACUCCAAUGGAGAUAUAAAAAAAAUUUUUUUUUAAAGUUGGGAUAUCUCACUUUGAGGAGUUGGAUGUGAUGGUGACAGCUGUGGGCAUCAAUGUAUAUAUCUCAAAAGGAGUUAAAGCUCAGCAGGACUGAUCGAUGGACCAUUUCUUAGAACUGUUUAUUAGGAAACAGUUUGAAACUUAUAGAAGACUUGCAGUUUGAAACUUACAGAAAAUUUGCAAGUCGUAUAGAAAAAGACUGCCCAAUAGCCUUUACCCAGCUGCACUUACCGUUUAUAAUUUGUCCUGUGUGCUCUCUUUCUGUGUAAACAUUAUUCUUUGUCCCAUACUUUUGAAAUUGAGUUACAUACAUCAUGGCCCUUUGCUUUUAAAUACUUUAUGUGUAUCUCCUAAGAAAAAGGCUAUUCCCUUAAAAAUCCACAGCAGAGUUAGUAGCUUAACUAAUUUAACAUCAACACGGGACCUCUGUCUUAUCUACCAUCUCUAUUUCAGUUUUGUCAGUUCACCCACUCAGCAAUGUCCUUUACAGCCUGUUUUCCCUCCAGUACAGGAUACAAUUAAGGAUCACAUAUUUCUGAUCCUUUACUUAUCAUGUUUCUCUGGUCUCCUUUAAUUUGGAACAGCUCCCAGGAGCAGCAAGACACUUGAAAACUCUCAGAAAGUAAUAGGAUACCAUCCUUCUAGGGGAAAAAGUUGGGUGGCUCAGAGGUCAGAGUGGAGACUGAGACUUGCAUGCGAAAUUCGCAGACCAUCUUCCUGGGUGUGGUAGAGGUUUCCAGGGUAAAUCCCAAACACCAUUAAUCAGGGGUGAUAAUUUGGCUUUUUGAGGUCUUUCAGGACACCUGAGAAGAAACGUUUCUCAACGUUGUCCAUCAGCUGCCUUCUAUCUCAGCUGCCUCUGGGAUAAUCCUCUCCCUGUGUGAGGGCCGACCUGGAGGGCAGUGCUGAGCCUCUGAUCAGGCGCUAUCCCAUGGAUGCUCAGGGAACAGAAUCCCGCUGAAUGGAGCAUAGAUGUUUCUGAAGGUCUGAGGAUCUGUGCCCUUCUUCAGCCAAGGACUGCUGGUGGGAAUGUCAACUGAAGACCUCGAGCAGGAAACCUUUGUUACUUGAGUUUUUUAGGCAAGAAACAAUGAAAAAUUACUGUAUCCACUUCAAGAAAUGAAUAACAGAAAUGGAAAACUGAUCGUAACAAAUUGAAUACAGAAUACUAAAGCGUAGUAUUCGUGAAUAAUGAAUAUCAGCAUGUUGUCCAAAGAAAGGGGAAUGAGAAUGAAGUCCCCGACUCUCAUUCUUUUUUUGUCUUUUAGCAUCAGCAGGGCCAGGAAGAGGAUCAUUAACAGGAAGGUGGAACACUCACAGCUGUGAUUGUCCAUUAUUCGAUCAACAGUUAACCCCCAGGAACAGAAUCUAGGAUUUCCCAGGAAGGCAUUAUUAGCCUCCUUUCCUGCAGACAUUGUGGUGCAUCUUGGGAAGAGAAACUCAAAUUAGCUACCAAAAGAUAUCGGACUGCUGUCUCUGACGAUGUUCCAGUGCCCCCUGAGGGCUUCUGAGUGUAAUAAAAGCAAACGAAAAAGCGGCUUCGUAUGAAAUAAUUCACUAUGCAGGAACAAAGCUGAAUGUGGGACUCAAAGGAUCUCUGAAGUAAAGAUUAACCGCCAGUCAUCAGGAAACCUAAAGUCAUUUGAAAUAAGAGGUGCCACAAGCCAGAAGACAGAAGCCAUAAACACAUACAAUAUUAAUAAAGCAAUUACAGAAAUAUUAUACUGAGGGGAAACUAUAUCUCAUGAUGGAAGAAAUAUAGGAAUCACCCCAUUGAAUCGGUGAGGGAGAUGAAGCCGCAGUUCUGUGCUCCCAGACCCGCCCAGCAGAUGGCACCUUCCCCGUGGAGACCUAAGUUUUCACACUAUCUGGCUGAAAUCCUCCUUCAACUUCAUAUCGGGCUGCACACCAUCUCUUCCCGAACAGCCCACCAGAUCAUCAAAUUCAGCACGUUCCAGAUGGCGCGGAGGAUCUGCUGCCAGGGUAUUUGCCUUGUGGCCAGGAUUGGUGUCAUACGUUGGAUAUCUCCGAAAUAACCAAUACAUGGCUUCUCAGAACUUUAUUUCAUUUGGAACCUUUAUGUGAUGAUGUAAUAUGCCACAUAUGAAACUUUUCUAAUGAAAAAAGCCAGUAUUUCUGCUGCAAGUCAAAUUGCAUAGCCAGGAGGGGCAUGAUUUGGAGCAGACUCCACCUAAGUGUUUGGAUCUUCUGGAAUGUUGUCAGGGUGCUAGUUUCAGCUUGUCUCCAACCUUUCCAUCUCAGCCUAGCCUGGGACCUUAAGAUGAAACCUACCCACAGGUGGAUUUGGCAGAGCUUUGAGAUACUCUGUGAGAGAGAAAAAAGAAAAGAAAAGCGUUGGGUAUCAAAUACAUUUGAGGAAUUGCAGAAUUCUAAAUCUGCUGUUUGAAAACUCUCACGGCUUAUUAGCAUAUUAAGGCUUUGAGAAUUCCUAGAGCUCUACAAAAUUGGGUCUGUCCUGUUCCCUUUACUUUCCUGUCUUCAUCUCCCGCGUCUCUCUGUCACUCUCUAGCAACUCAAUUGAUAUGGGUUAGGCACAGGCACUUGUCUGUGGGUCUCCCGGCUGUUGGGUAAUCGAGGAGGCCCCAGUGAGAUGACUGGAGCAUCUUAGCUCUGUUGCAUGCGCCUCUCAUCCUUCAGCAAGCUAGCAAAGGCAUAAUCUCCUGACCGUCACAGAGACACAAGAGCCAGCAAGCCCUUCAGUGUGCUUAUAUCAAUUUGCUAAUGUUCUGUUGGCCAAAUCAGGUCACAUGGCCAGGCACAGACUCAGAGCAGGCAGGCACUGCAACGCUACAAAGCAAAAGGUGCCGAUACAGGAAGAAGUGAAUAAUUUGGGUUACUUUUGUAAACUACCAUAUGUGUUAGAACUUAAAAUUUUUUUUGUUUCCCUCUACUAGAAUAUAAGCUCCACAAAGGCAGGUUUUUUUAAAAUCUAUUUUGUUAACUACUUACUUUUAUUACUUAGAACAGUGCCCUGCACAUACUAGGUACUCAAUAGAUAUUUGUGAAUGAAUGCAUAAAAGUAAACCCAUUUAACUGUGUUUAAGCCAACAUUUUCAAAUAUGUUUUUCAGUUGAUCCCAUUAUUAGUGGAAAGCCAGAUGAAAUUUCAUUGGAAAGUAGAGAUCCUUCGGAUAUCUAUGCCUUUCUUACUGAGGAUGGAAACUCCAGUAAUUAAUGGAAAAUGAUGAUCUUUACAAAGAGAAAAAUCUCUCAGUAUUUAUUUUGCCUCCUUUCAUUCACCUAACUACUAAGUUUUAGUAAAUGACUUUCACGUAUCAGGUGUGUACUAGAUGCUCAUGGUAGUGGAGAGCGAGAAUACAGCUCCUGUCUCUGGGAAGUCUCAGAUGAGUUGAAGAACAAACCUAUAAAACUGAACUUUGACCAAUAUGAUAUGCGCCAUUGUAACGUUGUUAAAACAGCCCCCAAGAACACUAAGGAAGAAGUGUUCACAUGUGCCAUAAGAUAUGAGAGAGAGCAUUCUACCUUUGACUAUCAUAUCUAUUCAGACUGAUAAAGUCACUCUUCUAACACAACUUGCAUAUUGCCAACGUAGCUGUUCAUACCAUUUAAUCUCUUUGCCCAUCUGCACAUUCACCCUUGUUCUCUGUUCUUUCCAAAUCCUACCCAUUCUUCAAGUCUGACCAGCAAUGGAACAUUCUCUGAGUUUGCUUACAGUUUUCCCCUGAAUUCCAUAGCAUUUAUUGUCUGUAUCAUAGUCAUGUGUAAUACCUACAGACAUCUAUUCUACUGUUUUUUAAUUGACUAUUUAACCCUCCUAUUGUUCACCUUUUCAUGUGUGACUGUUUUGUCUUUUCAAAGAAUUAAUAACCAUCUUGAGGGUAGAGUUUGUGUUUCUUUUCUGGAAUUGCUAAAAAUAAUGCUUGCUAUUAUAGGUGCUCUGAUAGUUAAUUAGAAGGAUAUACUGAAAACUGAAAGUUUUAACUUCCGUUCAUCACCUAAUUAUGGUCAGGCCUGAUAAUGCAUGUGAGCUAUUGGCUGUCAGUACAGAAAUAUUUCUACUUAGAACUGGUGUUUAUGUACUGUCUUUAUGUUGGAAACCAGUUACUACUUUAUAUGAAGCUGCAACCACAAGCCAGUAUUUUUAACAGGUUGAAAUAAAACUGACAAAUAUUAAGAGGUUUGGAAAUGGGUAAGAGAAAAUUUUAAAAUGGUGAAAUGGCGAACUAUAAAUGCACAGGGAGUAAAGAGAUUUCUCUACUGGCAAAGAAUAUGUUGAAAAAGGGAACAAAGAAAAAACAAAGAAGUGUUACCUGCUGAUUUUUGGCUCCAGGGCAGAGCAGUGAAGCAUUUGUCAUCUGUCAAUUAGUUUUGCAAUUUCUGUACACCUGCAUAUUCUAUCCAUUAGCCCCAUAAGAGUGCCCUUUAGUGGGAAAUUUUGCUUAACAUGGUACUUGACGUGUGGGAAACUCCCCAAAUAAACCACAAAACAAUCAAAUCAAUUCAUUUAGGUUGAGAAGAAUCUGAAUCUUACAUUUGACUUGGAGGCCCUUGAAAAAGGCAAAAAGGAUCUCAUCAAUAUUCCAAGUAUUCACUGAAAGAAACUGCUCCAAGUCAUAGUAAUGAUGAUAAGAGAAAGGAAAUUGUUAGUUUACUCAUAGUCAUAGUAAUUAAAGCAUAAUAAUCUAUUCAGAUCCUAUUAAAGACUGUGUCUCACUCAAUACAUUUCCGGGCAGGUUUUAGGCCACAGGCCAUUCAAAACUCCUUUUUCUUAAGUUCUACAGUCUAAGGAAUUUCUUGCGCUCAUUCAUGGCUCUCUCAUAUUAGGGGAUGGGUGCUGUGUACAGCUGAUGGAUUAGCUUAUUGCUUAUGAACUUAUUUCCCAUUUUAAGUGAAUGCAUUUUGUUGGAGGUCCCAUUGGUAUCUGUAUGGUAUGAGUAUUCAUCUUUAAGCCUUAUCCUUUUGGAAUGAGCUGACUAUGGACGUCUCCACCUGCAUAGUUGAGAAACCUGUUGCUGGACUCAGAGUAAUCUCACGAAGGUCAGAAGCCUGACCUGGAAUAAUUUCUUUACCUCAAAAACUGGUAUUAGCUACAGACAUCAGUAAGCACACAGUAUACUAGAGCACAUACAAUUUUUUAAAAAAGAAAUGUUAUUUUUGCUGUAUUCUAUUAAACUUGAAUUUACUUCAUUCUCACAUUUUUCCUUUCAUUUAUGCUAUAUGUAGGUAUUAUAAGGGAAAAGAUUGUUAUUUGAUUACAUUAAGAUCAGUCCAGUCCUAGCUAAUACAAUAAGACAAGGCAAGACUGAGAAAGAAGAUAUGAAAUUGUCUUUAUUCACAGAUGAUAUGAUCAUCUAUGUAAAAUAUCCAAAAGAAUUAACAAAAUAACUCCUGGAACUAAUGAACAACUACAGCAAGGUUGCAGGAUACAAGGUUAAUAUACAAAAAUCAUUUCACUUCCCUGUGUACUAGCAAUGAAAAAGUGGAAUUUGAAAUUGAAACUAUAAUACCAUUUAUAUUAGCACCCCCCAAAAUGAAAUACUGAGGUUAUAAAUCUAACAAAAUAUGUGCAAGAUCUAUAUGAAGAAAACUGCAGAACUCUGAU